UUUGAGAACACAAACUUUUCUAAGCAUUCUCCACUCCGCCCUGUACGGUAACCAAACAAUGUCGAGACCACCAUAGCUAAUGGCUCGAGCCGUGAGAGGGACGUCACGGUUUGAGAAGUUUAUGUCUUGUUCUUUCAAGAUCUCUCGGGCUAGCGACGGAGUGUUGACCACGACGGUUAGUUUUGAGCCAAGGUUGAGUCUGAAGAUUGGACCGUAUUCUUGAGCGAGGUCUCUGAAGUAGGUGUGAAGGUCCGGUUUAAGAAACGGGAGGUUUCCGACGAUACGUAGCCCUCAGGGUCCAGGUGGUAGAGGCGGUUGCGGCGAGCAUUUGAGAAGGAACCAGAGAACUGUAAUGAUAGUAGUGAGAACUAGAAUUUCGUAAGGAGGAACGUCCAUUGUGUUGUCGGUAAAGAGAUUUGAAAACGGAGACAUAUCUUUUAUGUCUGUUUGUAGAAACUUUGAGAUAAAUGUGGUUUUAUGGUGUUUUUGCACAUCAUCAUUUCAGCUUCAGACGUUUCCCAAUAUAUUGAAAAAAUGUCAUAAAAAAAAUAAAAUUAUAGUAAAAACCAAACUUUUUUUGUGGACAUCUGGAAAUAUAUAUCCUGUGAAGGUGAUAAGAAACUUGCCAACAAAAAAUAAUUUAUUAAUGAAUACUUAUUCCUUUAAAAUAUGGGUUUUUAGUGCAACUAUAUUUUUACUUCGGAUGAAAAACUUUCAACUAAAACUUUACGUUUUAAAAUCCUUAACUAUUAAACUGUUAAUGACGUUAACCCUCCGUCGACAAAGUCGUCUUUUCUGAACGGAUUUCUGUUAAAUUGAAUCGCGGGAUUUUAUUUAAUUACAGAAACGACACAAGAUGUUUAAAACUUUUUUCUGGUUUUUAGUGAUUUAAACCCCCAACUAUUUUUAGAUCAGAUGAAAAAACCUCCAACUAAAAGUUUAUGUUUGUAAACUCUCAACUAUUGAAACGUAAAUGCAUGUAACCCUCCCUCAAUGGUGUCUUCUAUUCUGAACAAAGACAUGGUAAAUUGAAACACAACGUUUCAUUUAAGCAGAUAAACGACAUGAUAUAUUUAAAAUCAUCACGAUUGGUGUCAAAACGGCAUGAUUUUUUGAACCAGAUUUUAAAUCCCCUCAUUCUGUCUCUAGUUCUUUGAGAUUCUAUAGGCGGUGAUUCAAUCUGCUCUUCCAAACCAUCAUAUGGUUUAUCAAGUGUUUAGUCAGGCUAGAGAACAAGGUACAUUGCAUAGAUAGUUUUGGAUUCACAAAAUAGAUUGAAUUACUACAGAGUGUAUAUGCAUCAAAGUCCCAAGCUAGUUUAUUAUUAUUAUUUUUCUAUUUUAGUUAUAUUAAAGAAAUUUGACCCAAAAAAAGGAAUUUUGGACAGAUAUGAAACUAAUAUCAAAAAGCAAUGAUUGUAAGGUAAACAAAUGCUCUUAGUUCCAUAAUUUGUUUUUUUUUAAAACCAAAUUGAUGAUUAUUUUUAUUACACAAACAUACAUGACGUUCGAAAACUUCAUUAAUACAAAGAUCUUAGUUUCUACAGAUAAAGAUUAGGAUCAGACAACCUCGGAACGGGCAUGGCAAUAAGAGGGUUUUUGAGCUUCAAGACAAUACCAAACUUAUCUUCCACAUUUAACUCAUGGCCUUCUGGAAUCUUCCAAUCGAAUGAAUGCAACAGCGUUGCAAGAGUGUACUGAACCAUCCUCUCUGCGAGUGCUACACCGGCGCAAAUUCUCCGGCCAGAUCCAAAAGGAAGAAAGCUAUAGUCAGUUCCAUGGAAAUCACAAGACUUCUUAUCAAGAAACCUCUCGGGACGAAAUUCGUUCGGGUUUUCCCACACAUUUGGGUCUCUUUGAAUAGACCAAACAUUGAUGAAGAUUUUAGUGUCCUUAGGGACGGUGUAACCGCCGACCACAGCUGUUUCAGCUGGACGGUGAGGGACUAACAAAGGAACGGUCGGGUAAAGCCUAAGUGUUUCUUUCAUAAUGGCUACUAUGUAAGGUAGUCUAGUGAUGUGUGAUUCUUCAACAAUGUUAUCCUUUCCUACAACUUCGUCUAGCUCUUGUUGCGCUCUCUUCAUCGACUCUGGGUUCUUUAUAAGCUCGGCCAUCGCAAACUCUAUCGUGUUUGUAGAUGUAUCAGUACCACCAAUCACCAUAUCCUUCGCAUAUACAGUACGUAUAUAACAAACAUGAAUCAGAAUCAUUCUCAUGAGCUAAGAGACAUGUUAUGAAACAAUUAAGGGCAAAUCUCUAAAAAGAACAUAAAGAUUGUUUUUAUGACCAAAAGAACACAGAAAAAACUGACUAAAUUAAAUAUGUUUCUUUUUGUAAAUAACAAUUAUAUUUCUACUUAAAUAUUUUUAAAAGAGAUUUUCGCAAUAAACUGAAUUUUUUAUUUUAAAAACAAAUAUUCUAAUUUUUUCUCUCCAAAAAAACCAAAACAACCCAAAAUUAAACUCCAAGUUUAAAUUUAACUCUUGGAGGUAUAAAUGGUCUUUUACUCUUCAGUAAAAUCUAUUUUAGUUAUUUUGAUUUUGAAAACUAUUUUUGUUAUAAAAACUUUUUAGUACUACUAUAUUUCUCAACAAUUAAUUACCGUGAGAACAGCUUUGACAUGGUUAACCGUAAUGGGAACCUCCGAGUUGGCUUCUUGGUCCUUUAGCUUCAUCAACUGUUGCAAAAAGUCUUUGCACUCACCAUCAUCCUUACUUCCUAGAUUUGGCAUCUUCUCAAUGGCUCCGUCGAAUAUGGCAUCGAGCUCACGAGCGUGGCGCAUCUGCUUCACGAGCCCUUGAAGAUCGAAUCUCGCUAGCCACGGAAAGAAAUCCGAAAUAUUAGGCUCACCCAAAAGCCUAGUUAUCUCAGAAACCACUACUUUAAACUCUGUUCCAACACUCUCCAUCUCCUCGGCUUUCACCGAACCUCCCCACAACAUAUUAAUCGUUAGAUUCAUCAUCGUCACGAACAACUGAUCACCAACGUUAACCGCCGCCUCUUCUUGACUUUUCUCGUAUAAAAACCUCGUUCUCUCUCGGAUCUCUUUGCGCCUUAGCUCGUAAAUUGAAUCCAACGUUUUGCGGUUAAGUAGUUUGAGGACACAAACUUUUCUAAGCGUUCUCCACUCCGCACUGUACGGUAACCAAACAAGGUCGAGACCACCAUAGGUAAUGGCUCGAGCCGUGAGAGGGACGUCACGGUUUGAGAAAUUGAUGUCUUGUUCUUUCAAGAUCUCUCGAGCUAGCGACGGAGUGUUGACCACGACAGUUAGUUUUGAGCCAAGGUUGAGUUUGAAGAUUGGACCGUAUUCUUGAGCGAGGUCUCUGAAGUAGGUGUGAAGGUCUGGUUUAAGAAACGGGAGGUUUCCGACGAUAGGUAGCCCUCGGGGUCCAGGUGGUAGAGGCGGUUGCGGCCAGUGGCGGAGCCCGGAUCAAUUUACACUGGGGUCAAAAUAAUUUUACGGGGUCAAAAUUUAUUAUUAAAUGGGGUCAAAAUAAUUUUUCUUUAACAAACACAAAAAAAAAUUAAAAAAUAGUGGGGUCAGCUGACCCCACUCCCCAUACACUCCCUCCGCCCCUGGUUGCGGCGAGCGUUUGAGAAGGAACCAAAAAACUGUAAUGAUAGUAGUGAGAACGAGAAUUGCGUAAGGAGGAACGUUCAUUGUGUUGUCGGUGAAGAGGUUUGAGAUCGGAGACAUGUUUUUACAGCUGUUUGUCGAAACGCUGAGAUUGACAAAUGUUGUUGUGUAGUGUUUUUUUUUAAGUACGUCAUCAUUUUAGCUUCAGUUUCCCAAUAUAUAUAGAGAAAAUGUCAUAUAAAAAUAAAUAAUAGGAAAAGCCAAUUUUCUUUUGUGGACAUCUGGAAAACCUAUAUCGAGUGAAGGUGAUAAGAAACUCAACGACAAAAAGAAAUAAUUUAUUUAAUGAAUAUUUUAUUUAUUUAAAAUAAAAAUAAGAAUAAAAAACGAAACAAAAGAGUUGUUUUUUUUUUUUUUUUUCCAUUUUGCCUCAUUUUUGGAUUCACGAGGAAUGAAAUUAAAGAUUAUCUGUUGUAUACAUAGGUUAAAAGAUUUCAAGUUUCUUUGGUUUUGUACAAUUGUCAUCGACUCUGGGUUCUUUAUAAGCUCGGCCAUCGCAAACUCUAUCGUGUUUGUAGAUGUAUCAGUACCACCAAUCACCAUAUCCUUCGCAUAUACAGUACGUAUAUAACAAACAUGAAUCAAAAUCAUUCUCAUGAGCUAAGAGACAUGUUAUGAAACAAUUAAGGGCAAAUCUCUAAAAAUAACAUAAAAGAUUGUUUUUAUGACCAAAAGAACACAGAAAAAAUGACUAAAUUAAAUAUGUUUCAUUAAAAAGGUAAAUAACAAUUAUAUUUCUACUUAAAUAUUUUUAAAAGAGAUUUUCGCAAUAAACUGAAUUUUUUAUUUAAAAAAAAAUAUUCUAAUUUUUUCUCUCCAAAAGAACCAGAACAACCCAAAAUUAAACUCUUGGGGGAGGAGUAUAAAUGUCUUUUACUCUUCAAUAAAAUCUAUUUUAGUUAUUUUGAUUUUGAAAACUAUUUUUGUGAUAAAAACUUUUUAGUACUGCUAUAUUUCUCAACAGUUAAUUACCGCGAGAACAGCUUUGACAUGGUUAACCGUAAUGGGAACCUCCGAGUUGGCUUCUUGGUCCUUUAGCUUCAUCAACUGUUGCAAAAAGUCUUUGCACUCACCAUCAUCCUUACUUUCUAGUUUUGGCAUCUUCUCAAUGGCUCCGUCGAAUAUGGCAUUAAGCUCACGAGAACACACGCGCAUCUGCUUCAAGAGCCCUUGAAGAUCGAAUCUCGCUAGCCACGGAAAGAAAUCCGAAAUAUUAGGCUCACCCAAAAGCCUAGUUAUCUCAGAAACCACUACUUUAAACUCUGUUCCAACACUCUCCAUCUCCUCGGCUUUCACCGAACCUCCCCACAACAUAUUAAUCGUUAGAUUCAUCAUCGUCACGAACAACUGAUCACCAACGUUAACCGCCGCCUCUUCUUGACUUUUCUCGUAUAAAAACCUCGUUCUCUCUCGGAUCUCUUUGCGCCUUAGCUCGUAAAUUGAAUCCAACGUUUUGCGGUUAAGUAGUUUGAGGACACAAACUUUUCUAAGCGUUCUCCACUCCGCACUGUACGGUAACCAAACAAGGUCGAGACCACCAUAGGUAAUGGCUCGAGCCGUGAGAGGGACGUCACGGUUUGAGAAAUUGAUGUCUUGUUCUUUCAAGAUCUCUCGACCUAGCGACGGAGUGUUGACCACGACAGUUAGUUUUGAGCCAAGGUUGAGUUUGAAGAUUGGACCGUAUUCUUGAGCUAGGUCUCUGAAGUAGGUGUGAAGGUCUGGUUUAAGAAACGGGAGGUUUCCGACGAUAGGUAGCCCUCGGGGUCCAGGUGGUAGAGGCGGUUGCGGCCAGUGGCGGAGCCCGGAUCAAUUUACACUGGGGUCAAAAUAAUUUUACGGGGUCAAAAUUUAUUAUUAAAUGGGGUCAAAAUAAUUUUUCUUUAACAAACACAAAAAAAAAUUAAAAAAUAGUGGGGUCAGCUGACCCCACUCCCCAUACACUCCCUCCGCCCCUGGUUGCGGCGAGCGUUUGAGAAGGAACCAAAAAACUGUAAUGAUAGUAGUGAGAACGAGAAUUGCGUAAGGAGGAACGUUCAUUGUGUUGUCGGUGAAGAG
rnacentral:lncRNA from 1 species